GUACUGCUGAAGAGUCUCACAAUAGGACGAAAUGACCAUUCAAUAC
rnacentral:hammerhead_ribozyme from 1 species